CAUGCCAUCCAUAUAACGUGUGGCCUGUGAAGACACCUGAUGUGGUCAGAGCUGAGAAUGUCCGUGGGCACACAGCACGUGGACAUCACAGCAGGGUGAAAACUAAUUGGGUUGACUGAAGACUGCAGAACCCACCAUCAUCAUCACCACCUGUGUCCAGGAUGCCACACAUCUCCAUAGAUAAGUGUGUAACGUUUUAUAUCAAGGCAGCAGUGAAUCUCAGGCUUGACUUAAUUAAAAAAUCUGCUUCAUUUCAAAACCAGCGCUCAGCUCCUCUGGCACAGUAUUUCUCAUUCACUGGUCAUGUGUUGCGACCUCCAACCUCCCUGCAUUCAUGAGACCUUACCAGAGGCAGUGUGGAACAAUGACUGAAAACUUGGCUUUGAGACGAAACUUAAUGCAUUGGAUAUGACCUCCCUACUAUGAGGCAUGGAGUCAAUUUCCUCACAAAAUUAAAGCAUCUGUUUCUGUGAGUUCUAAUCACAUGCCUGGUCUGGCCCAGAUCUCAAAUGGUGGCCCCAUUACUUUGCUUCCAAUUUUGCUCCAUAACCAAUCAUGUGUACGGGGACGGUGACCACAACAAAAGCAAAAUGAAAAUAUGAAGUAGAAGAAAGUCUUUCCUGAGCAGCGACUUCCUGACAUGG
rnacentral:sRNA from 1 species